rnacentral:tRNA from 5 species
GCCCAGGUAGCUCAGUAGGCAGAGCACACCCUUGGUAAGGGUGAGGUCGCCGGUUCAAGUCCGGUCCUGGGCU